rnacentral:rRNA from 1 species
ACGAACGCUGGCGGCGUGCUUAACACCUGCAAGUCGAACGGAAAGGCCCUGCUUUUGUGGGGUGCUCGAGUGGCGAACGGGUGAGUAACACGUGAGUAACCUGCCCUUGACUUUGGGAUAACUUCAGGAAACUGGGGCUAAUACCGGAUAGGAGCUCCUGCUGCAUGGUGGGGGUUGGAAAGUUUCGGCGGUUGGGGAUGGACUCGCGGCUUAUCAGCUUGUUGGUGGGGUAGUGGCUUACCAAGGCUUUGACGGGUAGCCGGCCUGAGAGGGUGACCGGCCACAUUGGGACUGAGAUACGGCCCAGACUCCUACGGGAGGCAGCAGUGGGGAAUAUUGCACAAUGGGCGGAAGCCUGAUGCAGCAACGCCGCGUGCGGGAUGACGGCCUUCGGGUUGUAAACCGCUUUCGCCUGUGCCGAAGCGUGAGUGACGGUAAUGGGUAAGAAGCACCGGCUAACUACGUG